rnacentral:rRNA from 1 species
AGAGUUUGAUCCUGGCUCAGGACGAACGUUGGCGGUGCGCUUAAUGCAUGCAAGUCGAGGGAGAACCAUUCGAUCCGUAAGGACUGGAUGGGGAAACCGGCGAACGGGUGCGUAACACGUGAGGAACCUGCCCCGAAGACCGGGAUAGCCCGAGGAAACUCGGAUUAAUACCGGAUACCCUCUUUGGACCACAUGGUCCGCUGAGGAAAUGGUCCGCCGCUUCGGGAUGGCCUCGCGGCCUAUCAGCUUGUUGGUGAGGUAGCGGCUCACCAAGGCAAAGACGGGUAGCUGGUCUGAGAGGACGAUCAGCCACACUGGGACUGAGACACGGCCCAGACUCCUACGGGAGGCAGCAGCAGGGAAUAUUGCACAAUGGGCGAAAGCCUGAUGCAGCGACACCGCGUGCGGGAUGAAGGCCCUCGGGUUGUAAACCGCUUUCAGGAGGGACGAAAAUGACGGUACCUCCAGAAGAAGGCCCGGCCAACUACGUGCCAGCAGCCGCGGUAAUACGUAGGGGCCAAACGUUGUCCGGAUUUAUUGGGCGUAAAGGGCUCGUAGGCGGUUCAACAAGUCGAUCGUGAAAGCCCGGGGCUCAACCCCGGGACGCCGGUCGAAACUGUUGUGACUAGGGUCCGGUAGAGGUGAGUGGAAUUCUCGGUGUAGCCGUGGAAUGCGCAGAUAUCGAGAGGAAACCAGUUG